GACGAACGCUGGCGGCGUGCUUAACACAUGCAAGUCGAGCGGUAAGGCCCUUUCGGGGGUACACGAGCGGCGAACGGGUGAGUAACACGUGGGUGACCUGCCCUCAGCUCUGGGAUAAGCCUGGGAAACCGGGUCUAAUACUGGAUAUGACUCCAUGACGCAUGUUGUGGGGUGGAAAGCCUUGUGCGGCUGAGGAUGGGCCCGCGGCCUAUCAGCUUGUUGGUGGGGUGANGGCCUACCAAGGCGACGACGGGUAGCCGGCCUGAGAGGGCGACCGGCCACACUGGGACUGAGACACGGCCCAGACUCCUACGGGAGGCAGCAGUGGGGAAUAUUGGACAAUGGGGGCAACCCUGAUCCAGCGACGCCGCGUGUGUGAAGAAGGCCGCGGG
rnacentral:rRNA from 1 species